rnacentral:rRNA from 1 species
UAGAUCGUUCAUAUUACAUGGAUAACUGUGGUAAUUCUAGAGCUAAUACAUGCAAAAAGCUCCGACCGUAUGGGAAGAGCGCUUUUAUUAGACCAAAACCAAUGGGGCCGCAAGGUCCCUUUGUAUGGUGACUCUGGAUAACUUUGUGCUGAUCGCAUGGCCUCGAGCCGGCGACGUAUCUUUCAAAUGUCUGCCCUAUCAACUUUCGAUGGUAAGCGAUUUGCCUACCAUGGUUGUAACGGGUAACGGGGAAUCAGGGUUCGAUUCCGGAGAGGGAGCAUGAGAAACGGCUACCACAUCUACGGAAGGCAGCAGGCGCGCAAAUUACCCACUCCUAGAACGGGGAGGUAGUGACGAAAAAUAACAAUACCGGACUCUAUGAGGCUCGGUAAUUGAAAUGAGUACAGUUUAAAACCCUUAACGAGGAUCUAUUGGAGGGCAAGUCUGGUGCCAGCAGCCGCGGUAAUUCCAGCUCCAAUAGCGUAUAUUAAAGUUGUUGCAGUUAAAAAGCUCGUAGUUGGAUCUCGGGUACUGGCAUGUGGUACGCUUUACUGCUGUCACUACAUGUCCGGUCCUAAUUCAUCGGUUGGCCGUUGAUGUCC